rnacentral:rRNA from 1 species
UGAAGUUAAAGNCAUUGGCUCAACCAAUGUAUGCUUUGGAAACUGUUAGACUUGAGUGCAGAAGGGGAGAGUGGAAUUCCAUGUGUAGCGGUGAAAUGCGUAGAUAUAUGGAGGAACACCGGUGGCGAAAGCGGCUCUCUGGUCUGUCACUGACGCUGAGGCUCGAAAGCGUGGGUAGCGAACAGGAUUAGAUACCCUGGUAGUCCACGCCGUAAACGCUGAGUGCUAGGUGUUAGGUCCUUUCCGGGACUUAGUGCCGACGCUAACGCAUUAAGCACUCCGCCUGGGGAGUACGACCGCAAGGUUGAAACUCAAAGGAAUUGACGGGGGCCCGCACAAGCGGUGGAGCAUGUGGUUUAAUUCGAAGCAACGCGAAGAACCUUACCAGGUCUUGACAUCCCGAUGCCCGCUCUAGAGAUAGAGUUUUUCUUCGGAACAUCGGAGACAGGUGGUGCAUGGUUGUCGUCAGCUCGUGUCGUGAGAUGUUGGGUUAAGUCCCGCAACGAGCGCAACCCUUAUUGUUAGUUGCCAUCAUUAAGUUGGGCACUCUAGCGAGACUGCCGGUAAUAAACCGGAGGAAGGUGGGGAUGACGUCAAAUCAUCAUGCCCCUUAUGACCUGGGCUACACACGUGCUACAAUGGUUGGUACAACGAGUCGCAAGCCGGUGACGGCAAGCUAAUCUCUGAAAGCCAAUCUCAGUUCGGAUUGUAGGCUGCAACUCGCCUACAUGAAGUCGGAAUCGCUAGUAAUCGCGGAUCAGCACGCCGCGGUGAAUACGUUCCCGGGCCUUGUACACACCGCCCGUCACACCACGAGAGUUUGUAACACCCAAAG